GAGCGGUAACGCGGGAGCAAUCCUGGCGACGAGCGGCGAACGGGUGAGUAACGCUUCGGAAUCUGCCCAGUAGUGGGGAAUAACCAGCCGAAAGGUUGGCUAAUGCCGCAUACGACCCCUUUCCUGACUGGAGAGGGUUGAAAGCGGGGGAUCGUAAGACCUCGCGCUAUCGGAUGAGCCGAAGUCGGAUUAGCUAGUUGGUAGGGUAACGGCCUACCAAGGCGACAAUCCGUAGCUGGUCUGAGAGGACGACCAGCCACACUGGGACUGAGACACGGCCCAGACUCCUACGGGAGGCAGCAGUGGGGAAUAUUGGACAAUGGGGGCAACCCUGAUCCAGCGACGCCGCGUGUGUGAAGAAGGCCUGCGGGUUGUAAAGCACUUUUAGUGGGGAUGAAAAGCUCAGGGCUAAUAACUCUGGGUCUUGACCUAACCCACAGAAAAAGCACCGGCUAACUCUGUG
rnacentral:rRNA from 1 species